rnacentral:rRNA from 1 species
AACGAACGCUGGCGGCAUGCCUAACACAUGCAAGUCGAACGAGACCUUCGGGUCUAGUUGCGCAGCUGUGCGUACCGCGUGGGAACUAGCACUUAGGUUCGGAAUAACUCCCCGUAAGGGGUGCUCAUACAGGUUAAUGUCUUCGGACCAAAGAUUUAUUGCCUUUGGAUGGGGCCGCGUUGGUUUAGCCAGUUGGUAGGGGAAAAGCCUACCAUGGAGACGAUCCAUAGCUGGUCUGAGAGGAGGAUCUACCAGGCUGGGACUGAGACACGGCCCAGACCGCUACGGAACGCUGCAGUGGAGUAUAUUAUGCAAUGAGCGAAGGCCUAACACAGCAAUGCCGCGGAUGUGAUGAAGGCCUUAGUGUUGUAAAGCUCUUUUACCCGGGAUGAUAAUGACGGUACCGGGUGAAGAAGCACCGGCUAACUCCGUG